rnacentral:rRNA from 1 species
UUCGCAAUGCCCGAAAGGGUGACGAUGCGACGCCGCGUGAGCGAAGAAGGCCCUAGGGUUGUAAAGCUCUGUCGAGGGUUAUGAAAUAUAGAUGGGUUAAUACCCCAUUUAUUUGACAAAAGCCCAAAAGGAAGCCACGGCUAACUCUGUGCCAGCAGCCGCGGUAAUACAGAGGUGGCGAGCGUUGUUCGGUAUUAUUGGGCGUAAAGAGCACGUAGGUGGUUUUGUAAGUCAGGUGUGAAAGCCUUCUGUUCAAAGGAAGAACGGCAUCUGAAACUGCAGAUCUUGAGUGUAGGAGGGGAGAGCGGAACUUCUGGUGGAGCGGUGAAAUGCGUAGAUAUCAGAAGGAACGUCGGCGGCGAAAGCGACUCUCUGGCCUAUUACUGACACUGAGGUGCGAAAGUUAGGGGAGCAAACGGGAUUAGAUACCCCGGUAGUCCUAACCGUAAACGAUGGGCACUAAGUAGAGGGGUUUU